rnacentral:rRNA from 1 species
UACAGAGGUCCCACGCGUUGUUCGGAUUCACUGGGCGUAAAGGGUGCGUAGGCGGUCGGGUAAGUCUGACGUGAAAUCUUCAAGCUCAACUUGGAAACUGCGUCCGAUACUAUUCGGCUAGAGGAAUGGAGGGGAGACUGGAAUACUUGGUGUAGCAGUGAAAUGCGUAGAUAUCAAGUGGAACACCAGUGGCGAAGGCGAGUCUCUGGACAUUUCCUGACGCUGAGGCACGAAAGCCAGGGGAGCAAACGGG